CCUUAGCUGAUGUCAGUUUUAAACACAAAGUAACAAAAAAGUUUCAAAAGCACCCAAUUACAAAAACUAUAUCAAUUUCUAUUUAGGUGAUACUUCUAUAGAUUUCUAUUGACAUCUUUCAAACUACAAAUCUAUUUGAUCAUGACAAUUUACCAAUAAAAACUGCUUCUUUUUAAUUAAUAUGAAAUACUACCCUUUCAAUUCACAACUCAACAUCA
rnacentral:lncRNA from 1 species